CCCUGGGAGACCCCAGCCGGGCGGGCAGUGAAUGAGCAAAAAGUGGAAGAAUGAGAGGAGGGAGGAGGCUUUGGUCAGGUGAUCCCUGAUGAGCAGCCAGCCCACCAAGAAGGGAUUUGAGCACACAGGCUGGUGCCAGAUUCCUCUGUGGAUGGGUGGUGGAAAGCUCCUGUCUUCACCCACCGCUGGAAACACAAAUGUUACAGCUCUGCCCAUCAUUGUGCCUGACAAGCCGUGUUCCCUGAGAGCUGAAUGCUGAGCACACCUCAGCCCCUGUGAUCAGACACUGCCAGCAUUCAAAGGAGAUGUUUUAUACAUGAAAAAGAGAUGUUUACAGAGAGCUGGAAUGUAGAGGUGAUGCAGUCCAACAAUCCCAGUGGAAAUUAGGAGCAGCUCAGUGCCUCUGAAGGCUGACGUGUGUUAUGUAUAUAGCACUGAGCACGGAGGGGCUUCCUGCACACUGAUGCUGUGAAUUAGUCACUGCAGGUACCAUAACUUGCAUAAGCUGGUGGGAAAAAGUGCAUUUUCAGCCAAGCGUGCUAAUACAGCCCUUCCACUUUCUCUGAAACAGACAAAUAAUGGAUACCUUAAGGGUAAAUAUCAAAGAGGAUUUAGUUUUAGGGUUUUUUGUUUGUUUGUUUGUGUGUUUUGUUUGGCUUUUUAAAUGCAAAGAUUCUCAAAACCUACAUCACUUGUUUACCCAAAGGAAAAAUAAACAAACAUGGACUUGCUCA
rnacentral:lncRNA from 1 species